rnacentral:rRNA from 1 species
CCUACGGGUGGCAGCAGUGGGGAAUAUUGCACAAUGGGGGAAACCCUGAUGCAGCAACGCCGCGUGAAGGAAGACGGUUUUCGGAUUGUAAACUUCUGUUCUUAGUGAAGAAUAAUGACGGUAGCUAAGGAGCAAGCCACGGCUAACUACGUGCCAGCAGCCGCGGUAAUACGUAGGGAGCGAGCGUUGUCCGGAAUUACUGGGUGUAAAGGGAGCGUAGGCGGGCGAUAAAGUUGAAUGUUAAAUCUACCGGCUUAACUGGUAGCUGCGUUCAAAACUUCUUGUCUUGAGUGAAGUAGAGGCAGGCGGAAUUCCUGGUGUAGCGGUGAAAUGCGUAGAUAUUAGGAGGAACACCAGUGGCGAAGGCGGCCUGCUGGGCUUUAACUGACGCUGAGGCUCGAAAGCGUGGGGAGCAAACAGGAUUAGAUACCCUAGUAGUC